rnacentral:rRNA from 1 species
UGAGCAAUCUGCCCUUCUCAUCGGAAUAAGCGUUGGAAACGACGUCUAAUGCCGAAUACGACCUCCUUUCGCAUGAUCGGAGGUGGAAAGCUCCGGCGGAGAAGGAUGAGCUCGCGGCCUAUCAGCUAGUUGGUGUGGGUAAUGGCCCACCAAGGCGACGACGGGUAGCCGGCCUGAGGAGGGCGACCGGCCACACUGGGACUGAGACACGGCCCAGACCUCCGUACGGGAGCAG